UCCGUGGUCAGCUCUGGGGACAGAGAGAGGGACAGGGGUCAGUGUGGUCAGUGUGGUCAGUGGUCAGUGUGGUCAGUGUGGGCAGUGGUCAGUGUGGUCAGUGUGGGCAGUGGUCAGUGGGAUCAGUGGUCAGUGUGGUCAGUGUGGCAGCAGCGCCAGCUCCGUGGUCAGCUCUGGGGAGAGAACCAGGGGUCAGUGUGGGCAGUGUGGUCAGUGUGGUCAGUGGUCAGUGUGGUCAGUGGUCAGUGUGGUCAGUGUGGUCAGUGGUCAGUGGGGCAGCAGCGCCAGCGCGUGCGCCACGGCCGGGUCCGAGCGCAGCGCCGGGGGCAGCAGCGCCAGCUCCGUGGUCAGUUCUGGGGACAGAGAGAGGGACAGGGGUCAGUGUGGUCAGUGGGGUCAGUGGUCAGUGUGGUCAGUGGUCAGUGGGGUCAGUGUUGUGGUCAGUGGGGUCAGUGGUCAGUGUGGUCAGUGGUCAGUGGGGUCAGUGGGGGGGUCAGUGUGGUGGUCAGUGUUGUGGUCAGUGUGGUGGUCAGUGGGGGGUCAGUGGGGUCAGCUCUGGGGACACCGAGUGACCCCGGGGGUCACUGGGGACAGGCUCCGUGGUCAGUUCCGGCCGGGUCACUGGUCACCGAGAGCCCCCCCAAUUCCGGACCCCUCCCCAAUUCCG
rnacentral:lncRNA from 1 species